rnacentral:lncRNA from 1 species
GCGAUUCUCCUGCCUCAGCCUUCCUGAGUAGCUGGGGUUACAGAGCUCUCAAUCCAGCAGCUCAGAGUAAACCCUCCUGAUGUGAAACCAAAAGUUUCUCCAAGAGAACCUGUCCAGCCUGGAGCAAAGUUCUAGAAGUAUGGACACUGGGGAUUUCCCCAAAGAAGCUCAAUGAGAUCACCUUACAAUCACAUAUUCUUUUUAAUACUCCACUCUUAAAUAUAAGCAAGAUUACCAACGAUUGCCAGGCAGCUAAAGAAAGUCUGUAACAUGAAAGAUUAAAUUGAAGAACAGAAAGCAGAAAGACAUAUGCAGGGAGAUGAAAGCUUCUACAGAGCAUAUUAAUAUCCUCAAAGAUGUUGCAACAAGGAACAAGGUACUGUCCCUAUAUAUCUACGUAUAUAAAGGAACAAUCAGAGAAUCAACUUGGAGUAAUCCUCCAUAAAUUAUGAUCAAAAGAAAAGAAAAUUGGGGUUGGGGCACACAGGGAGGAGAGGUAAUUCUGGGUCCACCAUCUGAGUAACAGAAAUUCCAGAAAGAAAAACCACAGACAGCCGGGCCUGGUGGCUCACGCCUGUAAUCCCAGCACUUUGGGAGGCCAAGGCAGGUGGAUCACCCGAGGUCACGAGUUUGAGACCAGCCUGACCAACAUGGUGAAAAUCUGCCUCUACUAAAAAUACAAAAAAUUAGCCGGGUGUUGGGGCAGGUGCCUGUAAUCCCAGUUACUUGGGAGGCUGAGGCAGGAGAAUUGCUUGAACACCGGAGGCAAAGGUUGCAGUGAGCCGAGAUGGCACCAUUUCACUCCAGCCUGGGCAACAAGCGUGAAACUCAGUCUUUAAAAAAAAAAAGAAAAAGAAAAACCACAGACAACCUAAGGAAGAAAAUCACUGAGAAUGAAUUCAAGAAAGUUUCCCAGAAAUUAAGGACAAGAGUUCACUCGGAAAGGGGCCUGGCAUGGAAACAGACCUUCGCCAAGGCAGGUAUUAAUACGUCAUUCUGAAAUUUUGGAACACUGAUAACAGAAGGGAAAAAAAAAAAA